GGGGAAUUUUGGACAAUGGGCGCAAGCCUGAUCCAGCCAUGCCGCGUGAGUGAAGAAGGCCUUCGGGUUGUAAGCUCUUUCGGCGGGGAAGAAAUGGCGCUUUCUAAUACAGGGCGUUGAUGACGGUACCCGCAUAAGAAGCACCGGCUAACUACGUGCCAGCAGCCGCGGUAAUACGUAGGGUGCGAGCGUUAAUCGGAAUUACUGGGCGUAAAGCGUGCGCAGGCGGUUGUGUAAGUCAGAUGUGAAAUCCCCGGGCUCAACCUGGGAACUGCAUUUGAGACUGCACGGCUAGAGUGUGACAGAGGGGGGUAGAAUUCCACGUGUAGCAGUGAAAUGCGUAGAGAUGUGGAGGAAUACCGAUGGCGAAGGCAGCCCCCUGGGUUACUACUGACGCUCAUGCACGAAAGCGUGGGGAGCAAAC
rnacentral:rRNA from 1 species